rnacentral:misc_RNA from 1 species
UACGGAGGGUGCAAACGUUGCUCGGAAUCAUUGGGCGUAAAGCGCACGUAGGCGGCCGAGAAAGUUGGAUGUGAAAGCCCUGGGCUCAACCCAGGAAGUGCAUCCAAAACUUCUCGGCUUGAGUCCCGGAGGGGCCCAGGGAAUUCCCGGUGUAGAGGUGAAAUUCGUAGAUAUCGGGAGGAACACCAGUGGCGAAGGCGCUGGGCUGGACGGGAACUGACGCUGAGGUGCGAAAGCGUGGGGAGCAAACAGG